AGAGUUUGAUCCUGGCUCAGAAUGAACGCUGGCGGCGUGCUUAACACAUGCAAGUCGAACGAUGAACCUAGCUUGCUAGGGGAUUAGUGGCGCACGGGUGAGUAAUAUAUAGGUAACGUGCCUCUUAGUCUAGGAUAGCCAUUGGAAACGAUGAUUAAUACUGGAUACUCCUUCUAACUCUAAUGUUAGUUGGGAAAGUUUUUCGCUAAGAGAUCGGCCUAUUUCCCAUCAGGUAGUUGGUAGUGUAAGAGACUACCAAGCCUAUGACGGGUAGCGGGUUUGAGAGGAUGAUCCACCACACUGGUACUGAGACACGGACCAGACUCCUACGGGAGGCAGCAGUGAGGAAUAUUGCACAAUGGAGGAAACUCUGAUGCAGCAACGCCGCGUGGAGGAUGACGCAUUUCGGUGUGUAAACUCCUUUUAUGAGUCAAGAAAAUGACGGUAGCUCAUGAAUAAGCACCGGCUAACUCCGUGCCAGCAGCCGCGGUAAUACGGAGGGUGCAAGCGUUAUUCGGAAUCACUGGGCGUAAAGGACGCGUAGGCGGGAAGCCAAGUCUGAUGUGAAAUCCUAUGGCUCAACCAUAGAACUGCAUUGGAAACUGGUUACCUAGAGUAUGGGAGGGGGAGAUGGAAUUAGUGGUGUAGGGGUAAAAUCCGUAGAUAUCACUAGGAAUACCGAAAGCGAA
rnacentral:rRNA from 1 species